GAUGAAGAACGUAGUGAAAUGCGAUAAGUAAUGUGAAUUGCAGAAUUCAGUGAAUCAUCGAAUCUUUGAACGCACCUUGCGCUCCUUGGUAUUCCAAAGAGCAUGCCUGUUUGAGUAUCAUUAAAUUAUCAACUGUACCAAUUUGGUUGCAGAUUGGAUGUGGGAGAUUUUGCAGGCUUUUGAUUUCUCUUUGAGAAAACGGUCAGCUCUCCUGAAAUAUAUUAGCAGUGCCUUUGUUGGUUCAUUAGGUGUGAUAAUUUAUCUACAUCUUCACAUGGUACCUUCAUUUGUGUAAAGGUCAUAUUGCUUCUAAUUGUCUUUGGACAUAAAAAAAAAAAAACAUAUAAUUGUAUGGAAAACUUGAUCUCAAAUCAGGCAGGACUACCCGCUGAACUUAAGCAUAUCAAUAAGCGGAGGA
rnacentral:misc_RNA from 1 species